GCUGGGCAUGGUAGUGAAUGCCUAUGGUCCCAGCUACUUGGGAGGCUGAGUUGGGAGGAUCGCUCGGGCCCAGGAGGUCAAGGCUGCAGUGAGCUAUGAUCAUGCCUGUGAACAGACACUGCACUCCAGCCUGGGCAACAGAGUGAGAACCUGUCUCUA
ensembl:misc_RNA Metazoa_SRP Metazoan signal recognition particle RNA